rnacentral:snRNA from 1 species
CAAGGAUCUUAAGUAAGCUUAAG